rnacentral:rRNA from 1 species
UAAAGGGUGCGUAGGCGGCACUUUAAGUCAGGGGUGAAAGACGGCAGCUCAACUGUCGCAGUGCCCUUGAUACUGAAGUGCUUGAAUGCGGUUGAAGACGGCGGAAUGAGACAAGUAGCGGUGAAAUGCAUAGAUAUGUCUCAGAACACCGAUUGCGAAGGCAGCUGUCUAAGCCGUUAUUGACGCUGAUGCACGAAAGCGUGGGGAUCGAACAGGAUUAGAUACCCUGGUAGUCCACGCCCUAAACGAUGAUGACUCGAUGUUUGCAAGCGUCCAAGCGAAAGCGUUAAGUCAUCCACCUGGGGAGUACGCCCGCAAGGGUGAAACUCAAAGGAAUUGACGGGGGCCCGCACAAGCGGAGGAGCAUGUGGUUUAAUUCGAUGAUACGCGAGGAACCUUACCCGGGCUUGAAAGUUAGGUGCUGCAUGGCUGUCGUCAGCUCGUGCCGUGAGGUGUUGGGUUAAGUCCCGCAACGGGCGCAACCCCUAUGUUUAGUUGCGACUCUAAACAGACUGCCUGCGCAAGCAGGAGGAAGGCGGGGACGACGUCAAGUCAUCAUGGCCCUUACGUCCGGGGCUACACACGUGCUACAAUGGAUGGUACAGCGGGCAGCUACACAGCAAUGUGAUGCCAAUCUCGAAAAGCCAUUCACAGUUCGGAUCGGGGUCUGCAACUCGACCCCGUGAAGUUGGAUUCGCUAGUAAUCGCGUAUCAGCAUGACGCGGUGAAUACGUUCCCGGGCCUUGCACACACCGCCCGUC